rnacentral:piRNA from 1 species
UCAGACACAAAGGUGGAAGAACAGGCC